UACGUAGGGUGCAAGCGUUAAUCGGAAUUACUGGGCGUAAAGCGUGCGCAGGCGGUUAUGUAAGACAGAUGUGAAAUGCCCGGGCUUAACCUGGGAACUGCAUUUGUGACUGCAUGGCUAGAGUUUGGCAGAGGGGGGUAGAAUUCCACGUGUGGCAGUGAAAUGCGUAGAUAUGUGGAGGAACACCGAUGGCGAAGGCAGCCCCCUGGGUCAAGACUGACGCUCAUGCACGAAAGCGUGGGGAGCAAACAGG
rnacentral:rRNA from 1 species